rnacentral:lncRNA from 1 species
GUCCUUGCUGGGUGUAGUAGUGCACACCUAUAAUCCCAGCACUCAGGAGGCUGAGGCAGGAGGAUGGUUGUGAGUUUGAGACCAGCCUGGCCUACAAAGUGAGCUCAAGGCCAGCCUGAACUGCAUAGUGAGACCCUGUCUCAAAAGACAAAAUAAUAAUAAUAAUAAUAAUAAUAAUAAUAAUAAUAAUAAUAAUAAUUAUGUCCUCUCCUCGGUACCACCCAAAAGGGCAGGGCUCCUCUGUCACCAGGAGGCCUGGGAGGCGAUGUGCAUGGAGCAAGUGGUGGCUCCCUUGUGUGCUUGCAGGGAUGGACUGUGUCCAGAGGCGCUGCUCUCACGGGAGGGGACCAGGCCAGGCCUGCACAUUGCUCAGGGUGGGGCAAGCGCCUGCUCCCCGAUGGCCCCUGGAACCCAGCCUGAGCACUGGCCCAAGGUCACAGGCCCUUACCGCUGGAAGCCGGGGGACUUCCUGGUUCUGGGGUCCAGAGCGAGUGGCCCUGCCCCCGUGGUGAUGUCACAGGCCCGGGAUGCCGGUGACCUGGUUGCCCUGGCGAUGUGCAUGGAGCAAGUGAGUGCCGGAAAGCUGUCAGGGAGGGCGUUGCCCCCGGCCUGCCCUGCCCAUCCCUGCUGUCCACCCUGCCAGGACCUGGCCUCGCCGACCCUGUGCUCCCCGCUCUCAGGCCCCCCAGCCUGUGGCAGGGCCGGAUCCCAGUGGGCUCUGCUGGCCAGUCUUGCUGUUUGGGCCAACAAGGUUUCCAGCCGGUGCGAUGGCUCUGAAUUCAUCCCGGGCAGAGCUUCGUCCAAGGGGCGACUGUUUGUAUGAAGACAGACGUGGAUAUGGAUUUCAAGGUGCUGGAUUUGUGCUGACUUGGUCCAAAACCCAGCCGCAUCUGGUUAUGUCUGGUGUCGACGGCUCCAAAAAUGUCCUGAAUUCCAGACAACCUCUUGGGCUUCGAAAUAAAAGUCAUUAAUCCUGCAUUUGAAU